rnacentral:rRNA from 1 species
CGCUGGCGGCAGGCCUAACACAUGCAAGUCGAGCGGCAGCGGGAAAGUAGCUUGCUACUUUUGCCGGCGAGCGGCGGACGGGUGAGUAAUGCCUGGGGAUCUGCCCAGUCGAGGGGGAUAACUACUGGAAACGGUAGCUAAUACCGCAUACGCCCUACGGGGGAAAGCAGGGGACCUUCGGGCCUUGCGCGAUUGGAUGAACCCAGGUGGGAUUAGCUAGUUGGUGAGGUAAUGGCUCACCAAGGCGACGAUCCCUAGCUGGUCUGAGAGGAUGAUCAGCCACACUGGAACUGAGACACGGUCCAGACUCCUACGGGAGGCAGCAGUGGGGAAUAUUGCACAAUGGGGGAAACCCUGAUGCAGCCAUGCCGCGUGUGUGAAGAAGGCCUUCGGGUUGUAAAGCACUUUCAGCGAGGAGGAAAGGUUGGUAGCUAAUAACUGCCAGCUGUGACGUUACUCGCAGAAGAAGCACCGGCUAACUCCGUG